rnacentral:rRNA from 1 species
GACGAACGCUGGCGGCGUGCUUAACACAUGCAAGUCGAACGGCAAGGCCCUGCUUUUGUGGGGUGCUCGAGUGGCGAACGGGUGAGUAACACGUGAGUAACCUGCCCUUGACUUUGGGAUAACUUCAGGAAACUGGGGCUAAUACCGGAUAGGAGCUCCUGCUGCAUGGUGGGGGUUGGAAAGUUUCGGCGGUUGGGGAUGGACUCGCGGCUUAUCAGCUUGUUGGUGGGGUAGUGGCAUACCAAGGCUUUGACGGGUCGCCGGCCGGGGAGGGUGACCGGGCACCAGGGGACUAAGAUACGGCGCAGACGGGAACGGUAGGCAACAGGCGGGAAUCUUGCACAACGGGCGCGAGCCUGAUGCGGCGACGCCGCGUGCGUGAUGACGGCUUGCGGGGUGUAAACCGCUGCCGCCUGUGACGACGCGGGAGUGACGGUAAUGGGUAAAGAAGCACCGGCUAACUACGUG